GUUCCCGUCACAGCCUCCUCUCCUCUUGCCCUCAGGGUCUCAAAGGCGGUCGCGCUUCCCUCCCGAGGUCCCGAGCUCCUGUGCAUCACCCGUCCUUCCCCUACGCCCCACUCUUAGCUUGGUCAUUAGUUUCUUUGGAAAUAGAGCUUCCCUGAAUUGCCCUAAUUUGGGUGAGCCAGAUUCGAAGACAGAAGAGUCCUGGGGAAAAAUGAACAAGCAAAUUUAAAAGGCACAUGAUAUCCACAAAGGAAUCCAGUCCUUUUUAAGAUCCUGUCAUAGGAGGCCAAGGGUGAGGAGGUCUCCUGCUAUCGGUGGGCCAGCGUGCCAACCGCUGAACCAGACGCUCACAGCCGGGCUCUCCCAACAUCAAGACAAGCCCACACACUGGAAAUCGAGCUGAAGGUGGGGCCUUCAAUGUCAGCAAGCAUCGGAAUCACCUGGAGGGCCUGCUAGACCAGCACGAUGGGCCCUGCCCCAGAGCUGGGAUUACACUGAUCAGCCCGGAAGGCCAAUCGCCGGCCCUUGAACUGGUUCCCAGGUGCUGCUGACGCCGCCAGUCAUGGGACCACGCUUUAGAAAUCAUGGCUCCGUCGGCCCUUCCUCCUCCCCCACUUCCCCUUCGGCACUGGGCCAGUCCAGACUCUCACAACGUCCACACGAAUGACUGCCCGACCUUCCGAAACAUCUGGUAACAAGCAGAGUUGUUCCUUCAAAACCCGUCUCCCACCAACAGUUGUGUUUUCCUGUGGGAUAGCACUUAGCAUGUGCGAGGAAGCAGACCGGCCGGCUGGCCGUAAGCACCAGCAAGGCGCGCUCCGGACAAACCCCACGGGAUUACCGCGCAUUUCUGCGUCACUGGUGGAAGACGGUUGUGUUAUUUUCGGAGUCAACCAAUCUCUUAUAAACAUGGCUUAAAUAUUCAAUCCUCCAAACAUCAGAUAUGGAUUUAGAAUUAUUUCCACAAAUGGCUGAGAUCAAGCAUCGGAUCUGUGGAGGCUAAUGGUCCUGUGAGAAGUCAUCCGAGAAGAGCCAGGGGCCAGGGACCAAUGGUGUGGGGGGAGCAGGCAACGCGUCGAGGGACGUGGGUGAUCAGGUUGUCUGGUGUCCUGCCCAGAGAAGGACAUAAAGUAAAUUUUAUUUCCUUCAGAAAAUAAUCUAUACUCUUUUUUUUUUUAAGAGAUAGGCUAAAGAAAAACUUAGAAGUUGAGGACAAGUAGGGGCACCUGGGUGUCUCAGCGGGUUAAGCAUCCAGCAUUUCAGCUCAGGUCACUGUCUCAGGGUCGUGAGAUCGAGCCUUCUUAUGUCAGGCUCUGCGCUCAGUGGGGAGUCUGCUUGGGAUUCUGUCUCUCCCUCUGCCCCUCCUGCUCGUGCUCUCUCUCUCUCUCUCUCUAAAACAAAUAAAUCUUCAAAAAAACUAAGGACAAAUAGCUCCAUCUCAUGUAAAUGAUGAGAUACGGGGAGAUUAUGGUCAGAAUCAUUUUUGUAAAAUGUGCUUUUGGUCAGGGGAUGGUGUGGGUCGGUACCCUGGAUGGUGAUGCUGGGAAGGAAGGAGAGAAGGAGCCCUGAGGAAGGGGGACUGAAUGGGGGGCUGUGAGAGGAGCUCUGUGCUGGUCCAGGGCGGGGGAGAGACAUGGGGUAGGCUUUGGGUGGCCACCAAUGUCUACAAUUUUGUUCUCUAGCCAAGGAGGAGUCCAGAUCUCUGACAAACUGACAGAAAGUAUCUUAGUCUUUAUGGACCCAAAUCAGUAGGAGCUGGGAUAAGAAGACCACAGAACAAAAUCUCGGGCGGGGCUGGAGAAGACCUGGAGCAUGGGGAGGUCCUUGUCACCUCUUCCAGCAGAGAGGAGCGGAGGACACUUGUCAUUUACCAAAAGUCCUUCCGGGGGCGCCAGGCUGCCCGCACAUCUGAGAUGUUAUGUAAAUAGAUGUUGGUAGGAGCAGUGAGGUAAGCUAAAACAGGAGCCGAGAAGGGGAAGAAUACAUCCCCCCUCUCCGACCCCAUCCCAGGCUUGACGUCACCAUCUCCAGCGACAAGAAAGGUUCCUCCCAUCCCCCCACAGGGAGCUCAACUGAGCCGUGAUCUCUCCACCAGUGCCUUCCCCUUCAGGGCUCCGACAGAAGAGACCUCCCCUCUGAACAGAAGCACUGAAGCUGGGAAUUCUCCCUGGGAUCCAGGCAAGAACUGCGGUAACAUGCGUCGAGAUGGUGCUAAGACUCUGCUAGGCAUUCCAUUCAUCCG
ensembl:lincRNA